rnacentral:rRNA from 1 species
GGAUAACGUUUGGAAACGAACGCUAAUACCGCAUGAUAUUAUUGAGCUGCAUGGCUUGAUAAUCAAAGGAGCAAUCCGCUGAAAGAUGGGCUCGCGUCCGAUUAGGUAGUUGGCGGGGCAACGGCCCACCAAGCCGACGAUCGGUAGCCGGACUGAGAGGUUGAACGGCCACAUUGGGACUGAGACACGGCCCAGACUCCUACGGGAGGCAGCAGUGAGGGAUAUUGGUCAAUGGGGGAAACCCUGAACCAGCAACGCCGCGUGAGGGAAGACGGUUUUCGGAUUGUAAACCUCUGUCCUCUGUGAAGAUAAUGACGGUAGCAGAGGAGGAAGCUCCGGCUAACUACGUGCCAGCAGCCGCGGUAAUACGUAGGGAGCAAGCGUUGUCCGGAUUUACUGGGUGUAAAGGGUGCGUAGGCGGCUUUGCAAGUCAGAAGUGAAAUCCAUGGGCUUAACCCAUGAACUGCUUUUGAAACUGCAGAGCUUGAGUGGAGUAGAGGUAGGCGGAAUUCCCGGUGUAGCGGUGAAAUGCGUAGAGAUCGGGAGGAACACCAGUGGCGAAGGCGGCCUGCUGGGCUCUAACUGACGCUGAGGCACGAAAGCGUGGGUAGCAAACAGGAUUAGAUACCCUGGUAGUCCACGCUGUAAACGAUGAUAAGUAGGUGUGGGUGGACUGACCCCAUCCGUGCCGGAG